rnacentral:rRNA from 1 species
GACGAACGCUGGCGGCGUGCUUAAUACAUGCAAGUCGAGCGAGGCCCUUGGAAUUGGAGUCCCUUCGGGAGUGAAGAGUCCUUGGCCUAGCGGCGGACGGGUGAGUAACGCGUGGGCAACCUACCCCAAAGUCCGGGAUAACAGUGGGAAACCGCUGCUAAUACCGGAUGGCUUUACCUGAGGGCAUCCUUGGGUAAAGAAAGGUUACGCUUUGGGAUGGGCCCGCGUCCCAUUAGCUAGUUGGUGAGGUAACGGCUCACCAAGGCGACGAUGGGUAGCCGGCCUGAGAGGGUGAACGGCCACACUGGGACUGAGACACGGCCCAGACUCCUACGGGAGGCAGCAGUAGGGAAUAUUGCGCAAUGGGCGGAAGCCUGACGCAGCGACGCCGCGUGAGCGAAGAAGGCCUUCGGUCGUAAAGCUCUGUCCUUGGGGAAGAAGGCGAAAGCUUGACGGUACCAAGAAGAAAGCCCCGGCUAACUACGUGCCACGCAGCCGCGGUAAAAGUCACGUCG